GAACUGUGAAAGUUUAAGUAAUUUAUUGGGCUAUUAUUUGGGAUUUCGUCGCCUAUGCUUGUGCCGAUGUGGUGUGCAACAAGGUCCCAAAACUGGAAUACAUAGUCGAAUGCUUGGAGGAGAAACGAUUCAGCCUUUGCAAAUGCCGUGGUUGGUUUAUAUUCACACAAACAAAACAUUUACUGGAACUCUUAUAUCUAACAGGCAUGUCGUCACAGCUGCCUCUAAUGUCCAUGACAUAUUACCAUCAAAAGUAUCAGUGACUUUGGGAUCGAAUGGACUUUGUGAUAAAGCGUCAUCAGCGUUCAAUGCGAGUGUUGAGGCAAUAUUAAU